rnacentral:lncRNA from 1 species
UCCUAUUAUUAAUUAUAAGAUCCAUUUCAAUAUUGAUCAGAGCAUUUCAUGUUCAAAUCUGAACUCUGCAAUAUAAAACACCACGAAAGUACAAAAGUUCAAGAUUAACUGAAAAUUGCUGCACUCAUAUUAUAUGAGCCACACAGCAGAGUUCAACCUGCAAGAAUUUUCAUCAUGAAUUACCACAGAAAAAGGGAAUAUAAGGGUGAAUAAUAAGGAAAUCAAUAGUUUGAUCCCCACCCUCAAUAUAAAAACUAACAAUACAAUACUAACAUUUUUUAUGCCAAAAUGUACAACAGCAAAAAAGAUAUCUUGGAAGUAGAAAUAUUUCAUUGAUCUAGCUAUGAAAAUUUCAACAUAUAUAAAGCAAUCAACGACACAUAUAUAUAUAACAGCAAAAUAACAAAGUGCACUAAUUAAUCAUGUUUCUUAAUGCAUACACACGAGUAGCUAUUCUAUAUAUUUGAGAUCUUUAUAUGCGAUACAUAAAUUGCCAAAGGAUAAUUAGUUGCCCUUCCAUAUAGGUUAAGAUCUUGAGGGUUUUCAGCUAUGACCUAACUAGUAGUUAGGUCUAAGAUGAACCAUUUUGCCUUUAGUUUCGCUUCUUUACUUCCAUCGUGUUGAUGCAAACACUUUCGAUGAUGAGAUCUUAACUGGCUUGGGACUCAUUUUGAAAUAUGUUGCUGGAAGAAAGAAAGAAAGGUUAGUGCAUAUAUAAAUACAAGAGUUGAGGAUGAGAGCAAAAAAGAAGAGAAUAAUAGUGGUGCUCAAGUGAGGGAGACAUGUUUGGUUAUAGUAGUGGCUUUUGCAGGUGAAAAAGGAAGUGGAGGAAUGGAUCUUCUCAGCAUAUACCUUGAGAAACCUUGGCUGCUUUUUUGCCAUUUAUUUACUUUAUCUAAAAAAUUAGGAAAAUGUUUCUUACACACCCAUCCAAAUGUGUAUACACCAUGAGAGGAAAGUUGAGUUCUUUCAAAAUGUGAUUUACACAUGAGAGAGUUAUGUGUAAUCUCACACUAUUCAAGAGAGAAAUUAUAUAUUAUUUAAAUCUUUUAUAUGUUUCUGUUUCAUUUUGGAUGGUGAGAAAUUACACCUUACCAUCUCAUUUGUAAAUCAUUCAUGAGAGGAUCCAAAUCCCCUUGAGCUAGAUAAAGAUAAGAGAAAGUUGUGUGAUAGAUGUGAUACAUUGAUAAUAUGGUAUGAAAAUAUAGAUAAAGAGAAAAUAAAGUGAUGAAUGGAUAUAUAAAAAUUUGAUGUGUCCAAAUAUCAUUGUUGAAAAAAAUAUAAAGGAAAAUCAAUGUGAUAUGCAUUUUUAUUUUGAAAGAAGUGUGAUAUUUUAGACAGUUUGUAUGUGGGACAAAGCAGGGCCGGACCAAGGCAUAGGUCGGGGGUGCGGUGACUUUGGAUCCAUUCCCGCAGGGACCCAUAUUUUUUUUUUUUUGGGAGGUGGCGGGUGUUUAUAUCAACACUUUGUUUAAAGAGAGUCUAUAUAGAAAAAAUUGCAAUGAAGGCCCAACCCUUUAUCGGACUUCAUCCCAGUAGCCCUUCACCCUUUCUAUUUUACAAGCAAAAUUUCAUUUUCAACACCCCAAAAUUUCAUUGGCCAAAACGCAAAACUUAAAAGUUAAAUGUAUAACGUAGAUGCAACACGUAAAAUGCAAUACAUAUACUCCUUUUUAGAGACUAGAUUUGUUUUUUAUUUUGAGGAUGCUUUUUGGUGUUUCAAAUCGAAGCGAACCCAAAUCUGUAUGUAGAUUUAGUCUGGUGUGAUUUUUUUAUAAGUAACAUCAAAUGAUAGAAGGUUUUCGUGUUACUAGUAUGAGAGAAGUGUAUCUUACUUAACUUUGUUGGGUUUUGUUCAGCCAUCCAUAUUUUUUUAUUAAUAAUAUAUAAGACGAGGUGUAUUUGACACACAAUGUUUCGAGAUGUCAGCAUAACUAGGAUUUUAAAACAUUGUAUUAUGGUGACUUGGAGUGAGCAUGACUGAGAUGUCAAUCACCAUGAUUAAUGCACUUCACAUUCAUAUAUAUAGAAAGAGUCCUUAUCUCAAACUUAACCUAAGAUCCAUAAAAUGGUAAGAACGACGCUCGACAAAGGUUGUGUUGGUGUCUAGUGAGGGACAAUGAUUUCAAUUUUUCUUUUGUCCCUGGAACAAUUUUAAAUUCAAAUAUUAUAUACUUAAAAUUGUUCUAUUUUUUUAUUUUUUAGCUGAUCAAAUACAUCUUUUUUCAAGAUAAAGAGCGUGCAAAAUGACUUGCUCAUAAACAUGGUGGCUCUUUUGAGGAUGCUCUCCCACAGCUGCAUAACAUUAUCCUAUGUUGAUGCACAUGGAAUUGUUUCACCGGAUAUUGCAGUUUUGAUUUCUUGCUGUCCUUUUUCAAUUUCUUUUUGAUAAAAAAAAAAAAAAGUAUAUACGUGCAGUUUUUUUUUUCUCUAAAGGAAGUGCAAAUUUCUGUUUUUUUUUGUGAUUUCAUCAAGAGUAAUGAUAUUUGAACAACUUUUUUGCUACAACUUUUAGGACAACCUUGUUGUGCUCUCUUUUCAUUGGUCAAAAACAAUGGAGAGAGAAAAAUGAAUAGAAAGAAUAAGAAGAUAACGUGAAUAUGAGAGAGAAAGUUGUACAAAAAUGGUUGUACAAAUAUCAUUUAUCUUUCAUUAAUGUCCAGGUGUGUCUACUUUUAUUGAUCGUAGUCCACCCUUAGUACGAAAAUGCUAACAUGACCAACAAAUGGUGAGACAUGCACACUCAUAGGUGGCAUACACACUUAAACCUCCACAUAAAUAUGUGACAUGUGUCCUAGACCCCACAAACACUUUGCCUCUCUCCUCUUUCAUCCAUCUCUCUCCUCUCAAAUAUGUGGGGGUGUAUGGGUGGUAUGAAAAUAUAAGUGGUCUACCAAUCAUUUUCCCAACAAAUAUCCUUAUGACAAGUCAUACUACAUAAUACUAACACGUGACAUGAUUAUUCAGCAGUUAUUCAAUUCCAAACUAAAAAAAAUAAAGAAAAAAGAAGGGUUAAUAGGCCUUUUUUUUUUUUUUUUUUUUUUUAAAUUCGGUCCUUGUAAAUUUUUUUUUGUUUUGGAAAACCCCAUAUAAUUAUUUUGAUUUUGAAAAUUAAUCCUUAGAAUUUUAUUUUAUUCGAAAAUAAAAUCUAGAUGAAUAACAGGAUAUAAUGGAUAUUGAUUGACACCGGUAUAUAAGUCAUGUUAUACUGUUGAAUAACAAGCCUUUAAUUUUAUUCUUCAUGAUCUAAUGUUAUGUUUUUUUAAUUAUGAAUAUACUUUCCAAUAUUUUGAUUUUCUGUAUAAAAAAUAAAAAAAACAAACUUUUUAAUUUUGAAAGAAAAAUCUGAACUUUCAUUUUUAAUUCUAUUCUUAUUAUAUUCAUAAAUUUUGAAAUAUUUGAAGUUGCUGAAUUUUUCAUUUUUUUAUAAAAUAAAACUUCUUAAUUUCGAAAAAAAAAUGAAUUUUUUUAAUUUUUCCAGAUUUUAUUUUAUUAAAUUUUCUAAAUUUUUUUCAUCUUACCAGAUUUUUUAAAUUAUUCCAUAUUUUUUUUACUAAAUUUUCUAGAUUUUUUCAUAUACCAGAUUUUAUUUAAUUUUUCCAUUAUUAUUUUUGUUUUUUUAAUCAUUUUUAUUUUUCUAGAUUUCAAGAAUUUUUUUAAUUUAAAAAAAAAAUCAUAAAUGUCACGUGUACCCCAUAAAAAAAUAAAAAUAAUUGUACAGUCAACGCGCUACGUCAUCCAAAAAAGGUGACGCAACAUGCCACAUCAGCAAAAAUGCACAGUCAACUGGUCUAGGGGGUUUCCAAAACAAAUUUUUUUUAUAAGGACCGAAUCCAAAUUUAUUUUUACAAGGGGCAAAACUCAAAGUGAUCUAUAUUACAGGGGUAAAAGCCUAUUAACCCAAAAAAGAAUAGUCAGCUCUUUCUUCUUACUUUUUUUUUCCUUUCCAUCUCUUUCUUUUAUAAUUGUCAAAUGCACGAUCUAACCUAACCUAAUUAUGACCAAAAAUCAAAUAAUUAGUAUUCGUAAUGGCAGAUUGGAAGGAUUAGUAACUCCAUGGAUGAAAAUUCAAAUGACCUAUUUAAGCCUUCAAUAUUUAUAUUUCAUUAAUAAAAGAGAUGAAACGUUAAAGCUUAAUGAUGUGUUUCGUCCUUGCAAUUAGACGUCAUUUAAAAAUUAGUCCCUGUAAUUGCUAAUCCUAACAAUUUACCCUUGCAUUGUUUAAUCAUUUAAAAUUUCGUCAUUUGACAAACUCAAUCACUGCCACGUCAUCAAAUUAGCAAAAUGGCAUGGGAAUGGACAAAAAUACCCUCGUCAUCCAUUCAUGAAAUGACAUUUUUAUCCCUUUCUUCAUCUUCUUCUCAUAAUAAAGCCUUUCUUUUAAGAUUAUAUUUACUAAAAAAUGCUCCGUUCAUUGAAAUCAAUACAAAUCCACAAACAUUAUGCUCAUAUUAUAUGCAAACUAAUACAAAUGCUUACCACAUAUAAAUUAACAUCCAUAAAAAACAUAAUGGUAUCUAAAAAAACCAUGCAAAAGUUAUACAGUGGUAUUUAAAGCAUCAACCAAAUUAACUUCCAUGCAAAAGUCGUAUUUGUCACAAUUCACAGAUGAAGCCUUAGAGAUGAUAAAAUACAAUAUUACAUAACAAAACAUUUAUUUGUUUAACAAUUCAAAGUAGAUAACAAAAUAGAUGACUUUUUAGCCUAACUCCUUUGAACACUUAAUUAUGCAUAUAAUUUAUUUUGACAUAAUUGAUUAUACAUACAAUUACAAUUGUAUCUCUUUUUAUGCAGUUUACAUCUUUAAACAUAUUUUAAACAUAUUAUUUUACGCACAAAGUUUACAAUUACAAUUGUAAAUUCUUCAAGAUGGUGAUAACAUUUGUGUUGGAGUGUGCGGAUCUGUGGAACGGGUUGUCCAUCUGUUUUUGGGUUGCAACUUCUUCUGCGACUUGUGGUCUCUUAUUUGGAAGUGGUUAGCAUCGUUAUAGUUGACCAUAUUGAGUUACGAGAUCAUUUUCUUCGGUCUGGUCAUUUUACUGGUUUACUUUGUUCAUCUCAUUCUUUUUUUCGGCUGAUUUGGCUUGCUUCUGUUUGGACCAUUUGGAAGGAAAAGAAUAACCGGGUCUUCAAAAACACGACAUCGAAUUUACAUUUGCUUUUAGAGAAAGUUAAGUUGUUGUCUUUUGUGUGGUUAAAGGCAAAAUUGUUUACUUUUGCUUUUGACUAUCAUGAUUGGUGGUGAUACCCUCCCCUUUGUAUGGGUUUAGUUAUAUAAUUUUGUCUUAGUGCUUUCCCGUUAAUCGAGUGCUAUUGUUUUGGUAUCUUGUAUUUAACUUUGUGCGUUUUACUUUAGCGCACCUUAUACGAGGUAGACCACUUUCGUUUUUUUUAAUAUAAUUCAUUUUGACCUGUUAAAAAAAAAUGUAUCAAACUUUUUUUUAGGCAAAUUAGUAUCAAACAUAAUAAGUGUAUUUUACUAAAAAAAAAUUGCUCUUUCUAUAAUAAAAAAAUACACCAAUAUUUACUAAAAGAAUUUUACUAAAAAUAUGACUCUCUUUUUCAUGUUGGGAUAAGCUAGGUGGUAGUGUGUAUCACUCAAUGAGAGGCAAGUACAAACAACAACAACAAAUGGAAUUUUAAAGUUCAUUGCACGACAUCAUGAGAAGAAUUUAAAGACAAAAAUAGCCACAAGAUUUGGUGAAGACACACAAACUCCACGACCCCACCUAUCACGCAUGCAUACUACAUAUAUUUGCAUCUGGAUCCUCUCCUGUGUAGUCCUCUUCACUAAUCAAGUCUUAUUUUUCUUUACUAUACUCUUUAGGUUAGAAGAUUGAAGACGGUCCAAGUAUUUGCCAUACAGUGCAUUAAAUGAGUAUCAAAUAAUUCUAUUUGAGAGGAUUUUACUUUCAUGAAUUUAGUUUGAAACCUUUCAUGCAGCAGAAUACUCGGAGCUUGUUAAAUUUUCUAUUUGUCGAAGCGUAACUAAUACCGACAAUAAUAAUGAUCAAAGGAGAAAAAAGCUAUAAAUAGAACAAUGUGAAAAAAACACAUUUUAAUGCGAAAGAAUAAAAAUCAGUGGACCUAGUUCAUAAAAAAAAAAGUUCACUAAAAAUCACUUAUUAUUCCUCUUCUCUUGUGUUGCUCUCUGUUUCUGCUUUUCUCUAAAUACUCACGCACACCACUGUUGCACUAUUAUGCAAGUAGGGAUUUCAUUCCAUUUUAAACCAAACAUGGCAACAUCACAUGUGCUAAGGAGCAAGGCCCAUACUCUGAUCUGACAGUGACACACACUUAUUCCUUUUUUUCUUUCUAUAACUUGGUGUGUACUCUCACUUGAGGAGAAUCUCUGAACGAUUCUCUAUUUCAUCUUAACUUAGGCAAUUAAUUAAGCCACCUAAAUUGCAUUGGGUCGAACCUGAAACCUUAAAAAAGAGUACACUUUCAAGUCUCAAAACAAUAUCAUCAAAUUAUCAUAUGUCACAAAAUCAUUUUAUUGUUUAUUUUAUCCAGUAAGUAUCUAUAAGAAUUGGCUCCCUAAAAAAUAUAAAAUACAAGAAUUGGCCGUAGGUGGAAUGAAAAUAUAUUGUAGAAAAAUCAAUAUAUUCUAAAAUUAAUUUAAUGUCUCAAACAAUACACAUACAUAUUUAUCCCUAAAAAAAAAUAGAUUGCAAUCUGUUUUCACGGGAACAAAAAUUUUCACGUUUUGUCCCCGUGAGCUUAGUUCAGUUGGCAAGGAUAUUUCAUAUUAUAUGUAGGGGCUGGGGUUCGAACCACGGACACCCAGUUCUUCACAAUUAAAUUGUGUAAGCUAUAGUUACUAAGCUACUUGACAAAAAAAAAAAAAGUUUCUCACGUUUUAAACACGGGAAUAUAAAAGAUAGAUUUCAUAUGCAAAUUUUAUUCCCCAGACCAAAUAAUAUAUAAGAACUUUUUUUUUUUUUUUAUAAAAAUUUAUACCAAACAUGAGACUUUUAUAUAUUUUCAACCCAUUCUUUUAAAUAUAUAUAUAUAUAUAUAUAUAUAUAUAUAUAUAUAUAUAUAUUCAACCAACGAAACUCUCAAUUUCUCUGUAAACUUUCUCAUUCAUUCCUCUAGAAUGGGUGGUUUUAGGUCAUUUUUUGACUUAAAAUCAUUCCUUUACAUCUUUUUUUCUCUUUUCUUUCAAUUUAAAUAAGUGGUUUUCACAUAUAUCUUGUUUUUUCUUGUGUUUUUGUGAUUUCGUCGUCUAAUUGCGGCGUGUGUUAGUGGUCUUAUGUGGCGAUUGAUUUCGCGUCUUGUCGCGGUGUUCGUUUAGUUCAUAUUAAGAGAUCGAUAUAAGUCAAUUACAAGUUAAAUCAAUGAUCUGGACAUCAACGUUGCAGAUCCGAAAGUAUGGAAAGCUAUGCAUAGUGGCGAAGCCACCGUUGACACGAUAAUGCCCCACAUUCAAAAUCCAUGUCAUCGACGUCAUGCAUUGUCGUUAGAUGGAUAACGGUUAUGGGUGAAAUGGUAGAGAGAUUUCUUCCUAGUGCUUUCUAGAUCUCUUUGUUCGGGUUCUCAUUUAGUUUAUGAUGUUUUUUUUUUCUCUCUAUAUGUAUGUCUCUUAGUUGUUGGAUUAAUCCAACUUCUAGCCAUAACGCAAAAGAGAUGAUUACAUGGACGAGUAGCGUAGGAGAGGAUCCAGAUCCUAAUAUUUCAAAUUUAAGACCGAUUCCUUAUGUAUAUAAUAUUUUCAAAUUCAAUGCAGUAAUGAAAAAUAAAGUCAAUAAAAAAAAUUAAGAACCUAAUAAAGGCCAAUCGUUUUUAUUUAGGAAUCAAAAUACUAAACAUCAUAAAGUAAGCAAAAUAUGCUUUACAAUUACAAUUGAUUGAUUCUCUAAUCUAAGCUUUUCUUGGAAGAAUGGGAAUACUUUGUUCAUUCCUGAAAAAGUUACCAGGAUCAACCGCAGUCUUAAUCUUAACCAACCUGUCAAAAUUAUUAUUAAAGUACAUAGUACCAUAAACUUUACCUUCUUGAUAACUAUUCUUACCAAAACUAUUAAUCCCAAUAUCAAGGUCUCUAUAAUUUAUAUAAGCACUUCUAGGAUUCUUUGACACAAAAGGUGUCAUGUAACUAUGAAGUACCUUAGCUUGAUUCAAAAAACCAACUGUUGCAUUAGGUGAUGGAUCAUCCCAAUUCACUGAAUAUUGAAUUUUGAACAAAUUUCCAGCACGGUGAGGAAAUGGCGUUGCAUCGGCCGGAAUCUCAGCGAUUUUUCCACCAUAAGGGUUGAAAACAAAUCCAAUUUUUCCUAACUCAAUCAUCUUUUUCCAUAUCCCUUCCAAAUCAUCUUUUGAAAUAGCUUUCUGAACAUAAUCAGAUUUUCUCUUACCUAAACCCGCCGAAUUAACAUUCCUAUCCAAAAGAUUCACCGGUUUCUUGCCAUUUUUAAGACUCAAUUCAUCGUUAUACCAUAGAACAGAAUUAAUCCAACUCAAUUCAAUACAAUCUUUUUUCUUCAAACCUAAACGUGGAAAUUCCUUCCCUAAAAUCUUUACUACCUCGUCAGCGCGGCCUAGAAACAAUGCAACAACAGAAGCUCUAAUAGUUUUUGUUCCUUUGACAACCGUAGAAGAUUUAGGUUGCAAAAGAAGCCUCAUGAAAAUCCUAUUAUCAGUUGUUGGAGCAACUUGUUGCCAUUGAACAACAAGAUCAGUUGCAUUCUGUUCCAAUGUUUUCUCAAUUCGGAAAACAGUAACGGUUUUAGGAACCGCUACUAAUUUAAUGGUAUAAGACAGAACAACACCAAAACUAGCACCACCACCGCCUCGUAUAGCCCAAAAAAGAUCUUCACCCAUUGAUUUCCUAUUCAAAAGCCUUCCCUUAACAUCAACAAUUUCAGCAUCAAUAAUAUUAUCAACAGAUAAACCAUAUUUUCUCAACAUUGCACCAUACCCUCCACCACUGACGUGACCACCAACACCGACAGUUGGACACACACCAGCAGGAAAUCCAUGAACUUUACUCUUUUCAGAAAUUCUGUAGUAAACUUCACCAAGUGUAGCACCAGCUUGAAUAUAAGCAACUUCAUUUUUUAUAUCAACAUUGAUUGUUCUUAGAUUAAACAUAUCAAGUAUGAUAAAGGGUUGGUUAGAGAUGUAUGAAAUACCCUCGUAAUCAUGUCCACCGCUUCUUAUUUUGAUUUGAAUGUUGACUUGCUUAGCACAUAUUACAGUGGAUUGGACAUGCGAAGGUUGUUUUGGAGUGACUAUGAGUAAUGGUUUUGUUAUUGAAGUUGUGUUGAAACGUGCGUUACGGAUGUAGUUUUGAAGGACAGUGGAAAAUGAAAGGUUUGUUUGGGAGAAAACAAUGUUGGAGAUUGAUGGAUCUUUUGUGUUUUGUGUGAGACAGUGAAGGAAAGUGGUGUAUAAAGAAUCUGUUUUUGUUCUUGCAGCCAAGGAUGAAGACAAGAGAGUAAGAAGAAAAAGAGUUAAAGAAAAGAAAAAGAGUAAGGAAAAUGGUUUUGAUUUUGUCAUGUUUGUGUAACUGUGAUGAAAAAUAGUGAAGGAUUUGUGCGGUUUUAUAGAGAAGGAUUGAGGCAUGAGGGCACUGUGUUAUUAUCUUGGGAGUUAUGGUUCAAAUAUCUGUUGUAUAUGGGGCCAUGCAGACAAAAUCUUGUGGCUACUAUUUUUAACCAUGUUUUUUGCAUUUCAAAAUCUUGUAGGUGGAAUUUUUAGGUUUAUGAGAAGGUUAUGACAUACUUGAGGGCAUCACAACCGUAACACCCCAUUAUUGGUGGCGGAGGAUAUUUUUAGAUGGUGGUGUUUUGGAUUAUCAACUGCUGGUAGCUUUACUGCGACUUUUUACAAAUUUGAAUAGGAGCAUAUUGUUGAUUUCGAAAGAUCCAUACCAUCUUGAUGUAAAGGUAGAUUGAUAAUGUUUUAGACUUGAAGGAUAGAACAUUGAAAGAUCAAUAAUGAUAAAUUUGACAAGUACAUCAAACCAUUCAAGUAGUAUAGAAGUAAGUGUGUCAUUUCUACAAGAAUUGUUGUUUUCGACUUAGCAAUUUAUUACUUCACUUAUAAUGAAAAAUAAUAAAUUGGUGAAAUUUUCAAGAGUUGUUCGAUUGCGUAAAUAGAUUGAGUUGAUUUAAAGUUUUAGCAGUGAUUAGGAUUCUUUGAAUCCCCUUUACAUCUUUGUCUUCAAAAGCUUAUUAAAAUGGCUCAAAAACAUACUUAAAACAUCACAUAAUGAGGUGUCAUCAAUUACUCUAUUUAUUCCUUUUUCUUUCAUAUCUAGCAAGGCGAGAUUUUUAUCCAAUCAUUUGUCAUGCAUAACAACUUUCUCAACUUCUUCCUCGAUUUCACCUUCAAUUUGGUAGAACUCUUAUUCAUCUUGGGAUGAUAAACUUAUAUAACCUUCUCAAAAACAUGAUUAAUCAAUCCAACCUUGCAACAAGAACCCUUCACAGUUGAACUUUUCAUAUGGUUAAUUCAAUAAUUUAUUUUUCUCUUGGUGAAUUCACGUUUUUUUCACUUCCUUAUCAUUUGGUUCCUCUAAUUGUUUUCAUGGUACCGUAAUAAUUAAUCUAGGAAAAAGGAUAGAUGGAGGCUUGGAUCUUCCGUUGGUAAACUGGAAAAUUGACAUCGGUUUAUUAGAUUCUACCUCGGAGCGUACAAUUCAAGAGUGUGGUUCCAUUUUAUUGGAAGAAACAUGUAAUCUUUGUUUAAAACAUGUUUGAAAGCCAAAAAUAAAUAAAAAGACUUUAGUCUAACGGAUAUAGAAAAUAAAAUCAAAAUCAACAACUAAUUCCCGACAACAGUAUUAUAUGUAGGGGUCGGGGUUCGAACCCCGGACACCUCACUUAUUCACCUUAUAAAGUGAAUUCUAGCCACUAGGCUACCUAACUGAAGACCGGUGUCCACUUCACAUCUCUAAGUCAAUUAGCUAAAUGAUCGAUUUGGAUUAAUUUUAGAAAGAUGUUUUAACAAUGAUCUAAAACAUCUUAGGUUUGUGAUUUUCAUCACAAUGUAACUAUUCAAAACAAUAGAUUUUUUUUUCCAUUCAAAUUCUCUAUGUUGCUAUUCGAAUCAAGACUCUAAUGAUGGGGAUGGGGUAAGCUAAUGUAACCUACAGCCCUUUUCGGAUGUUAAAUAAGUUUAUCUUGAACCAAUGGAUCAUCCUAUUUUCAUGGCUUGAUCCUUUGAAAAAUCCAUUAAGCACAAUUACCAUAUAUCACCUAAAAUAAAUCUAGACUAUCUUCAUGUUUUAAAAUCUUUGCUUUAUCUUAUAGAUCUAACAUCAUCUUUUUUGCUCAAAAAAAAAAAAAAACAUCAUCCUUUAACUAUGCUUAAAUCAAUAGGAAAAUAUUGAAAUAUCAUAUCCUACUCGAUCCGUUGUUUGGUGUUCCAACCAAAAAUGAUAAAUUUAACAUAUAUUUCUCAUUUUAUCACAACUUUCUUAAGAAUAUUGUUCUCCUAUUCUCUCUACAUGACUUCCGCCGAAAGAAGACAAAAAAGAAGAAAAGCUACAGAAAAACCUCAUAGCGAGGUCUUCCCUAAAAAGGGUCGUAGAAGAAAAAAAAACUCUCAGAUAGAGGUCUUCCUUAAAAAGGGUCGUAGAAGAAAAAAAAAAACCUCAUAUAGAGGUCUUCCCUAAAAAGGGUCGUACGUAGAAGAAGAAAACCCUCAUAUAGAGGUCUUCCCUAAAAAGGGUCGUAGAAGAAAACCCUCAUUGGUCUUCCCCAAAAAGGGUCGUAGAAGGAAAAAAAAACCUCAAAUAGAGAUCUUCCCUAAAAUGGGUCGUAGAAGAAAAAAAACUCUCAUAUAUAGCGAUUCCAAAUAAAGGGUUGUAGAAGAAAGAAAAAAAAAAAUCUUCAUAUAGAGGUCUUCCCUAAAAGGGUUAUAGAAGAAGGAAAAAAAAACCUCAUAUAGAGGUCUUCGCUAAAAUGGGUUGUAGAAGGACAAAAAAAACCCUCAUUUAGAGGUCUUCCCUAAAAAGGGUCGUAGAAGAAAAAAAACCCUCAUAUAGAGGUCUUCCCUAAAAAGGGUCGUAGAAGAAAAAAACCCUCAUAUAGAGGUCUUAUCUAAAAAGGGUCGUAGAAGAAAAUCCUCAUAGCGAGGUCUUCCCUAAAAUGAGUCGUACAAGAAAAUACUCAUAUAGAGGUCUUUCCAAAAAAGGGUCGUAGGGCACUUUGAAGGAUUCACCCGCUUAAGUUACUUCAAAAUAAAAUUAAAGUUACACCAAAAUUACAUAAAAAAAACUGCAAAAAGCCAGACAAGGAAUGAACUCGCCAUCCCGAACAAUCUUGAAAGAAAUGAACUCGCCAGUGGAAAUACGAAAGAGUCUCCGCCCUAAAUCAUUAAAACCACUUCGCCUUGUCCCAAGACUCAUGAUUGAGGGGUUUUGACCAUCGACCUUACAGAUUCAUCACUUCGCCUUGUUCCAAGACUCGUGAUUGAUGGGCUGUGGACUGUCAAUCUAUCCUUAAGGGCACAAAUGCCCUCCAGUAGGGCUCAGACACCCUCUAGAAGGGCUCUUGAAGCCCUAGGUGCGUCCCCCUAAAGGCGUCGUCUCAACAGAGAAGCACCUAGAACGCUCUAAAGUGACUUAAGACCCAUGUUGCUUGGGGCUUAAGUCACAAAAAUACAAGCCUAUUAAAGGUUAUAAAUAUCCCUCUUGAUAUCAUUCUCAAGGCAUGAGUUAAAGAGACUAAAUUUUAGUUUUAGAUAUUGUACUCACUGCAAGUACAACUUGAGUUUUAGACAAUCUUAAUUAGAGUAAUUUAAAUUAUGUUGACUUUAAAUGUGUUGUCUUACGUACAUAAAUGGGUUAAUAGUGUUUUAUCCCCCUGUAAUAUAGGUCAUUUCCGGUUUUCCACCCUGUAAAAAUUUUUGCUUGGUUUUCGUCCUUAUAAUUUGAUGAUUUUUUCAUUUUUGACCUUCAUAGCAAAUUUUGCCCCCUGUAAUUUGAGAAAAUUUUGGUCAACCUCUUGUAAUUUGAGCAAAUUUCAAUUUACCCUCUGGUAAUUUGAGAAAAUUUUUGUUUAGCCCCUGCCAUAUCGUCGAUUGUGUACUGUUAAAAUUCAGAAGGUGGAAAACCAAACAAAAAAUUUUACAGGAUAGAAAACCAGAAAUGACUUAUAUUAUAAGGGAUAAAAUACUAUUAACUCUACAUAAAUUAAUUUGGGACGCUGCAUAGAGGAAUGAUAACUUAUACAUGCAUCCAAUAGUAGAGAAUUAUUAGAAAAUCACAAAUUGUAUGCCGACAGUAUGCAAUACGGUGUUGUCUGGUUGGUUUUAAUGUUUGAAAAUCAUUUCUCUAUUAGAUAGGAGGUUAGUUUGAUUUCUACCGCUAUCAAACUCUCUUUUCCCUGUUAUUUUUUAUUUUUUAGAGGAAAUAUUUUCCCUGCUAAAUUAAUUACUGUCAUUUUUCGUAUUUAAGAGAUUAUUUUCGACAUAAUAUGAUGAAACUCUAACCAAGUGAUUGACUGUCCUUGUGAGCUUAACUCAGUUGGUUGGAUAAUGCAUAAAUAUAUGCAAGAUUCGGGAUUCAAACCCCACCCCGUCCACCACAAAAAAAAAAAAACCAAGUGAUGGACUCGGGUGUUAAUCAAUUCCAUCAAAUGAUGAAUCGUUCGAAAAAAUGAGAUUGAUUCUUGGUGGAACAGUUUUUUGCCAUAAUAUAUAUUUUUUUUUUUAUGUUAACCCAUCGAUUUCUAGAGAAAGUGAGCAUUGGUAAUAUGAAGUUUGAUCAUGUGGUAAGUAAAGUCUACAAUUAUUGUAUCCGUCGGUGAUACAUCAAAAUUGACUCAUUUGAUAAAAGUUUAUAUGUUAAGUUUGAUGUAUCUCAACAUAUCAAAUUAUUUCAGUCAAAUUUUAUAUACAUGAUCUAUUAUCCAUUGAUGGAUAUUGUAAAUACAGAUAUACGGUAAAAAAGUAUCAGUGAUAUCAUAUAUUAAGUUUAACAUCAUGGUGUAAAUUGAUCAAAUCCCUAUAUAAAAAUAAAUUGAUCAAAUCCCUAUAUAAAAAUUUAGAAAAUAUUAUAUGAGCUGCAAAUCAGAGAUCAAUUUUUCAAGAAUAUUUCAUCAUAAAUAACCACAACAAAAAAGAUCUAGCAAACAAAUAUGUUUAUUAGAAGUAGAAAUAUUUCAUUGAUCGAUGAAAAUUUCAACAUAUAUAAAGCAAUCAACAGCACAUAUAUAUGAUAUAUAUACAUAUUCUUUCAAAGAAAAAAAAAAUGAUAUAUACAUAUACCUACAAAAUAACAAAGUGCACUAAUUGCUAAAAUUGCUUACACAAAAGUGAUAGCUUAUUGCAUAAAUAUGAGAUGAGAUCUUUAUAUAGGAUACAUAAAUUGCCAAAGGAUCAUUGGUUGCCCUUCCUUAUAGGUUAAGAUCUUGAGGGUUUCUUUCAACCAUGACCUAGCUUGUAGCUAGGUCUAACUUGAAGCACUAUUUUGCCUUCAAUUUUGCUUCUUUGCUUCCAUCUUUGAUGCAAAUGUUGAGAUCUGAACUUGAGACUCAUGUUAUGAUUUGUGGCUGGAAGAAAGAAACAAAAAAAAGUGUUACUGCAUAUAUAAAUACAGGAGUUGCUGAUGAGAGCAAAAAGAAGAGAAUAAUAGUGGUGCUCAAGUGAGGGAAACAUGUUUGGUUUUCAUAGUGGCUUUUGUAGGUGAAAAAGAAAGUGGAGAAAGGAUCUUCUCAGCAUAUACCUUGACAAAAUUUGGUUGCUUUUCUGCCAUUGAUUUACUUUUCCUAAAAAAAAUAACUUUAUUAAGCAAAGUUAGUGUGACA